rnacentral:lncRNA from 1 species
UUUUUUAGUCUGUGUACCCAUUGUUUCUUCAUCUAUUCGAAGCGUCAUAUGACGUGAUGAUUUGAAUUCAUCUGUGGCCAUUGACAGACUCAAGCAUCUACGUUGAUAUGUGAUGCCAAGCAACUGAAAAAGUUGGCUGCUGUUAGUUCUAGCCUGGAAACCAUCAAGAAUGUCAUCUACUUUGAGGACGGUACAGUGACGGAUUCCACAAAUAUUGGCAGCGGGAGGGUGUCAUCUUUCUCAGAAAUUGAAAAUCUGGGUAAAAAUGGUUCUAUUCAGCCAAGACUGCCUGUCAAGAAAGAUACUGCUGUGAUCAUGUAUACCAGUGGCAGUACAGGCUUACCUAAGGUUUGACCCCACUUUCUAUUAAUUCUUUUUUUUCCGAUGUGCAUGCAGGGAAAAAAUAUAAUCGUUGGGUAUGCUUCUAGAUGGUUCUCGUGGGAUGUUUCUUAUAGCUUCCCUAGUGGCUGAAGCAUUCUUGUUACCUGGAAACCAUCAAGAAUGUCAUCUAUUUUGAGGACGAGACAGUGACAGAUUCCACAAAUAUUGGCAGCUGGAGGGUGUCAUCUUUCUCAGAAAUUGAAAAUCUGGGUAAAAAUGGUUCUAUUCAGCCAAGACCGCCUGUCA